ACGGGGUGCAGCAGGCGCGAAAACUCCACAAUGUACGACAGUACGAUGGGGUUAUCUCGAGUGCAGUCCGAUAAGGGCUGCUUUUCCAUAGAGUAAUAUCCUGUGGGAAUAAGAGGGGGCAAGACUGGUGUCAGCCGCCGCGGUAACACCAGCCCCUCGAGUGGUGGGGACUAUUAUUUGGCCUAAAGCGUCCGUAGCUGGCUGUAUCCGUCCCCCGUUAAAUCCAGCGUCCUAAGCGUUGGACUGCGGGUGAUACCAUACAGCUAGAGGGUGGGAUAGGUGAGCGGUAUUUCUGGGGUAGGGGCGAAGUCCUUUGAUCCCAGGAGGACCACCAGUGGCGAAGGCUGCUCACUAGAACACGCCUGACGGUCAGGGACGAAAGCUGGGGCAGCGAACCGGAUUAGAUACCCGGGUAGUCCCAGCUGUAAACGAUGCCAGCUAGGUGUUGGGUCGGCCACGCGCCGCCCCAGUGCCGCAGGGAAGCCGUUAAGCUGGCCGCCUGGGGAGUACGGCCGCAAGGCUGAAACUUAAAGGAAUUGGCGGGGGAGCAC
rnacentral:rRNA from 1 species